UAGUAACUGCGAGUGAAGCGGGAAAAGCUCAAAUUUAAAAUCUGGCGGUCUUUGGCCGUUCGAGUUGUAAUUUAGAGAAGCGUCUUCCGCGUCGGGCCGUGCACAAGUCUCCUGGAAUGGAGCGUCAUAGAGGGUGAGAAUCCCGUCUCUGGCACGGACCUCCGGUGCUUUUGUGAUGCGCUCUCAAAGAGUCGAGUUGUUUGGGAAUGCAGCUCAAAAUGGGUGGUGAACUCCAUCUAAAGCUAAAUAUUGGCGAGAGACCGAUAGCGAACAAGUACCGUGAGGGAAAGAUGAAAAGCACUUUGGAAAGAGAGUGAAACAGUACGUGAAAUUGUUGAAAGGGAAACGCUUCAAGUCAGUCGCGUCGACCGAGACUCAGCCUUGCCUCGGCUUGGCGUACUUCUCGGCUGACGGGCCAGCAUCAAUUUCGUCCCUCGGAUAAUGGCAAGGGAAAGGUGGCACCCUUACGGGUGUGUUAUAGUCUCCUGUCGCAUGCGAGGGGUGGGAUUGAGGACCUCAGCGCGCGCCUCUCGGCGUCGGGGCUUCGGCCCACGCUACGCGCUUAGGAUGUUGGCGUAAUGGCUUUAAACGACCCGUCUUGAAA
rnacentral:rRNA from 1 species